GUCAAAAUAAGCUAUUAAGGGCUAAUGGUGGAUGCCUAGACUGUAAGAGGCGAUGAAGGACGUAUUAGACUGCGAUAAGCUUCGGGGAGUUGUCAAAAAACUUUGAUCCGAAGAUUUCCGAAUGGGGCAACCCAGCAUGGAGCGAUUCAUGUUACCGGCAACGGGGCGAACCUGGUGAAGUGAAACAUCUCAGUAACCAGAGGAAGAGAAAUCAAAAGAGAUUCCCAAAGUAGCGGCGAGCGAAAUGGGAUUAGGGCAAACCCAAUGCUUGCAUUGGGGGUUGUAGGACUACAACAUAAGACUUAAGAAGAUAGAUGAAGUAGCUGGAAAGUUGCGGCGUAGAAGGUGAAACCCCUGUAAUCGAAAUCUUCGAAAGCUUUAGUAGUAUCCUGAGUAGGACGGAACACGUGAUAUUUUGUCUGAAUCCGGGGGGACCACCCUCCAACCCUAAAUACUACUUACAGAUCGAUAGUGAACAAGUACCGUGAGGGAAAGGUGAAAAGUACCCCAGUGAGGGGAGUGAAAUAGAACCUGAAACCAUUAGCUUACAAUCAUUCGGAGCCCUAUGUCUUGUACAGGGUGACGGACUGCCUUUUGCAUAAUGAGCCUGCGAGUUGUGGUGUCUGGCAAGGUUAAGUCAAGUACGAAGCCGUAGCGAAAGCGAGUCUUAAUAGGGCGAAUUAGUCAGAUGCUGCAGACCCGAAACGAAGUGAUCUAUCCAUGGGCAGGUUGAAGCUGGUGUAAGAGCCAGUGGAGGACCGAACCGAUAGGCGUUGAAAAGUCUCCGGAUGACCUGUGGAUAGGGGUGAAAGGCCAAUCAAACUUCGUGAUAGCUGGUUCUCUCCGAAAUAUAUUUAGGUAUAGCCUCUAGUAGUAGCAUGUAGGGGUAGAGCACUGAUUGGGCUAGGGCUGCUUACCGCGGUACCAAACCCUGUCAAACUUCGAAUACUACAUGUGUAAUCUAGGGAGUCAGGCGUAGGGUGAUAAAAUCCUAUGUCGAGAGGGGAACAACCCAGACUAACAGCUAAGGUCCCAAAGUUACAUCUAAGUGGAAAACGAUGUGGAGUUACUGUGACAACCAGGAGGUUGGCUUAGAAGCAGCCAUCCUUUAAAGAAAGCGUAACAGCUCACUGGUCUAGUGAUUCUGCGCGGAAAAUAUAACGGGGCUAAGAUGUACACCGAAGCUUUAGAUUCGAAUUUAUUCGAGUGGUAGGAGAGCGUUCUAUUCAGCGUAGAAGCGAUACCGGUAAGGAGUCGUGGAGCGGAUAGAAGUGAGCAUGCAGGCAUGAGUAGCGAUAAUUAAAGUGAGAAUCUUUAACGCCGAAAACCCAAGGUUUCCUACGCGAUGCUCGUCAUCGUAGGGUUAGUCGGGUCCUAAGUCGAGUCCGAAAGGGGUAGACGAUGGCAAAUUGAUUAAUAUUUCAAUACCAACAUAUAAGCGCGAAGUGGGGACGCAUAGAGUUAAUCGAGCUCACUGAUGGAAUAGUGGGUCGAAGGACGUAGGUCGUAAGGUAGGAAAAUCCGCCUUACAUGAGACCGAGAUCUUACAGGCUCCCAACGCUCUUCGGAGAAGAGGGAGAAUCGAUGAUACUGUCGUGCCAAGAAAAGCCUCUAAGUAUAUUAUAUGUUGCCCGUACCGUAAACCGACACAGGUAGGUGGGAUGAGUAUUCUAAGGCGCGUGGAAGAACCCUGGUUAAGGAACUCUGCAAACUAGCACCGUAUCUUCGGUAUAAGGUGUGCCUACUAUUGUAUAUGGACUUGCUCCAAAAAGCGAUAGAGGUUGCAACAAAGAGUCCCUCCCGACUGUUUACCAAAAACACAGCACUUUGCUAACACGUAAGUGGAUGUAUAAGGUGUGACGCCUGCCCGGUGCUCGAAGGUUAACUGAUGAUGUCAGCACUUGUGCGAAGCAUUUGAUUGAAGCCCGAGUAAACGGCGGCCGUAACUAUAACGGUCCUAAGGUAGCGAAAUUCCUUGUCGGUUAAAUACCGACCUGCAUGAAUGGCGUAACGAGAUGGGAGCUGUCUCAACCAGGGAUCCAGUGAAAUUGUAGUGGAGGUGAAAAUUCCUCCUACCCGCGGAAAGACGGAAAGACCCCGUGCA
rnacentral:rRNA from 1 species